UACGAAGGGGGCUAGCGUUGCUCGGAAUCACUGGGCGUAAAGCGCACGUAGGCGGAUUGCUAAGUCAGGGGUGAAAUCCUGGGAGCUCAACCUCCAGAACUCGCCUUUGAUACUGGCGAUCUCGAGUCCGGGAGAGGUGAGUGGAACUGCGAGUGUAGAGGUGAAAUUCGUAGAUAUUCGCAAGAACACCAGUGGCGAAGGCGGCUCACUGGCCCGGUACUGACGCUGAGGUGCGAAAGCGUGGGGAGCAAACAGG
rnacentral:rRNA from 1 species